rnacentral:misc_RNA from 1 species
UUGUCUCCAACGCCGUCUCCCGCACGCUCUUCUUACGCGAUUUCCUUUGUUGUUUUCCGCCCUCCUGUCACCUCUGUCGCUCACCGCCGCCCCUUCGCGCGACUCCAUGUCAGGCCAGAUAUUUCUCUAUAUCUCAAACGGGCGCACCCUGUGGGUGCCGCGUCACACGGCCUCGCCCACCGAAACGAAGCCGGUGUGCAUGCUGAACUACGUGACGCCGAUGGAGCUGUCUCGGUCCUUUUACCUCUUCGACUACGCGGUGCAGGUGGUGGAGAACGCACAGAUGGCAGCCAUGAACCCGAACGCGAAGACACCGAACGAGGUGCUGGCGGCGGUGAACGACUUCCGCCGUGUGUGCGCCGAAGAUCAAAACUUCCUUCUCCAGCGCUGCUACAACUCGCCUGCCCAGCAGCAGCAGCAGCAGCAGCAGCAGCCUCAGCAACAGCAACCUCAGCAGCAGCAGCCUCAGCAAGUGAACGCCUACCCGACUCCUUACUCAUCCAGUCCCUCCCAGCAGCAGCAGCUGAUGAUGUCGUCCGCGACCACGUCAGGCUACGGCGGUGGCAGCAACAACGCAGGCGCCGCCGGAGGUAUGGACUCGGCAGCCCUGCUCACGCAGUUGCUGCAGCAGCAGCGCCAGCAGUCCCGUAUGAUCAGCGGCGGCAACACGAGCAACCAGGGCUACCAGGACAACGGCGCCGGCGGCGCCUACGGCUACAACAAUGAUGGCCGCAACUACUACGGCGGCGACCGCGGCCGUGGUGAUCGCCGCAUGCACGGUAACGCUUACGGCAACAGCAUGGGCUACUCGCAGAACAUGAUGAUGAUGCAGGGCGGGAUGCCUCGGCCGCAGCAGCCGAUGAUGAUGGGCUACAACAGCAUGAACCCCUACGGCAUGGACCAGAUGAUGAUGUAUGGUGGCGGCCCCGGCCAGAUGUACCCGAACGCGCGUGGUGGCAGCGGGCGCCGCAGCAACAACUACGGCGACCCCAUGAUGAUGAUGGCGCAGCAGCCCGGCAUGUACGGCAGCCGCCGCGGCAUGGGUAGCCAUUCGCAAUCGCAACAGCAGUCGCGGAUGGGCGCGACGGUGCGCAACGAACCGGAGCCGAUCAACCUCGACGGCGUCACAGUGCCGGAGGAGAUCAAGACGGUGUACAUGAACCCCGCGCAGCAGCUCGUGAUCGCGACGAUGCCGGGCCCGCACAUGACGGUGUGGCUGCGCGAGCACCCCUUCCCGACGGACCUGCAGGACAAGAAGUUUGUCUUUGGGAAGAAGGGCAUCUGCCUGAUGCUGAAGGCAUCCUUCGAGGAGGUGAAGGGCAGCAAGCCUGUGGAGCUGUUCCCGAAGCAAAUCUGCACGCACUUCUUCAUCUACGGCUACUGCUCGCGUCCCAACUGCUUCCACGAGCACCACAACGAGGAUCAGCUGCGGGAGCUGAUCGCGGCGCGGCAUGUGCAGCUGAAGGCCAUGACAAAGGCUCAGCGCCACCAGCUUAUCGACGAAAUCGAGAAGAAGGAGAAGGAGGGCCUCGCGGCGGCGGCGGCUCACCGCGAGGAGCGAGAAAAGAAGCGCGCUGAGGCAGCUGCCGAGCGGGAGGCGCGUCGUCAGCAGCGGCAGCAGCAGCUAUCGCAGCAGGGUCAGAUGUACACCUCCUCCUCUGCACCCAACACACAGCCGAAUCCGUCGCAGGACAUCGGAAGCGACAACGAGGACGACGACGCCAUGACGCAGGGUGGGGCCGGCAGCAGCCAGCAACAGCCUAGCGCGAACCCGUCAGUGGUGGACAUGAUGGCGAGCAGCCCCUCCCAGGACCACCAAGCCGUGUCGGCGGGGGCCGGUGAGGCGACAGCAGAGGCCUCCAAGACGCCUUCGAAAAGUGACGUCGCUGCGAAGCUUGGCAUCACCGAUAGUGAUGACGGAGACGACAACGAUGGCUCCUCCUCGUCCGCCAGCGGCAGCAGCUCCACGAGCAACACAAAGGCUAAGGCAGACGUGGUGGAGGCGUCGGCGGCGGAUGAGGACGAGGGGGACGCCGAAGAGGAACACGACGAUGCCGAGGAUGAGGAGCAGCAGGAGGAAGAGGAGGAAGAGGAUGCCAAAGCCAAGAAGUCCAAGGCGAAGAAGCCGGCACCGAAGAAGCGUGGCCGCGCGGCCGCGCCGAAGAAGGCAACGAAGCGCACUAAGAAGCAGUAGCACUGGCGCGCCCGUAUGGCGGAAAGGCGGUUGUCAAACGCUUUUUGGACGCUUUCCCUGUGCACGCUGCCGUCUGCCUCCCUUCCUCACCCUACGAUCGGCCCAACAACCAAACACACACACGCUCGGCAUCAACAUGAACCUCACGUCUCCGCGCGCGCGUGUGUGUGUAUGUGUGUGUGUGUGUGUGUGUGUGUGUGUGUGUGUGUGUCUUUGUGCGUUCCUCAGCUCCCUAUUUUCUUUUGCUACACCUCGGUGAGACUCUUCCACUCCCCACCCCGCCACGUGCUGUCGCCACCGCCCUCUCACAGCCACCACCCCUCUUCUUUGGUGCCGGCUUUGUAUUCCCCCUCGAUUCCGUCGUGCACCCGCUGUCAUCGUCUCCCCGUUCUCAUGAAGGGCGAGAGUGAACCGGAUGCGGCAACAGUCGAGGCGGGCGCAGGAGCAGCGCCUGGACAGGGAGAGGGAAGGAGAGGGUGCGUGUGCGUGGGCGUGGGCGGACAUGUGAGCAGAGGGGGAGUCGGCUGGCCGAUGCGUCAGCGUUUUCGAAUAGAUAUGCUUUCUUGGCUUGUUUCCUUUACUUCUUGUUGGGCGUGUGUGUGUGUGUGUGUGUGUUUGUGGCGAUGCUCACGUCGUUGUGCGUUACUUGGCUCUUCCCUUCCCUGUUGCUAGUUUUCUCAUUCCUUGCUUCAUUGUCUUCUGCAGCCCUCCCCCCCCCUCCUCCUCCCUCUCCUCGCGGUGAUUGUGUGAGAGGGCGCGGGAGGGAACGACGAUGUGGUGCAUGUGCGCAUUCACUCUUGUUUGCACCUGUGAUGGCGGCUGUGGUCGUUAUGCUUUCUAGUAGCCCAACCUAAUGUGGAAGUAUGUACUUUGGGCGAAGGGGCAACGCCGUCGUCGCUGAUGGGCACGUGCGCGCGCGUCGUUGGCUCGCCUGUCUGUAUCUCUGUCGUAGAGUAACUCGCCGUGAAAGCGAGGGUCUCCCUCUGUCUGUUGCUGUGUGUGUUUGGGUGUCCGGCCCGCAUGCGCCCAACGCGCGUGCAAGGGUGGGGAACGCAGCAUCGGGCGUGCGUGCGCGCGCCUUGCAGUGUGUGUCUGUAUCUGUGUGUAGCCUGAUCGCUCCGUUUUAUUUAUUGGUCUUGUUGGGCGGGUUUCUGUCGGCGUCGGGCUCGCGCACGCGAGCGCUCUCUCUCUCGUCUUUAUAAUGUUGUGGUUCGCCGUGGUGAAGCUCUUCUUAACGUAAUGCUGUUGUGCUUUCCAUUUCUCGUGUGUGGGUGGGUGGGUGCGUGGGUUCAUGUGUAUUCCAGUGGAGGAGGAGGUGGUGGUGGUGGUGGGGAGGGGAAGGGAGGGGAGGAAGGCUGCAGGAUGGUGUUUGAAAGAGUUCGAGCGCGUUGGUGAGCCUCAUCCGCAUCCCUCCUUUUCUCUCUCUACAGAUCCAUCUCUCCUGCAAUUGGAUUUCGACUGUACAGUGACCCGCUCACGCGCACAAGCACACACGUAUGAUGCCGUGGAUGCAGCCGAUGGUGUGCUCGUGGCUGACGCCUUUUCGGCAUCGUGCCGACGCCUGCCGCACACACACUCGCACCGGGCAUGCGUACGUUUCUUUCUCCACGGGCACUCAUCAUAACUGCAAUGACGCACACACACACACACACACACACACUCACUCACAGGUGCACGCCUACGUACACAUAGCACACACAGGCACACGUGCAGGUGCAUUACCUGUCGGUGACACACAGGCGGGAGGAGGGGGUAGUGCCGGCGCAAGCCCGCACGUGCAGUGGCGCGAACACCAUCACGCUCACAUCCACUCGCCCCACUACCAUUGAGGGCGUUAACGUAUACGUUAGAGGUGCGGAGGCAUGCUUUCACAGCGCUACACUGGGGGUGUCGACAUCACAACGCCUGCGCGCAGGGAUUGAGGGAGGUGGCGGAGUGGUGUGGAGGAAACAGGGAACGAAGUGUGUUGCGUGCGCGCCUGUGGGUGCGGUGUGCUUCGCACCUGCAUAUUCUAUCCAUCACUGAGUGAGCAGGUCAACAUAAGGACGCACCUGCGCACACACACAGGUGGCACGCCCAAACCAGCACAGUGUUCCCCCUUUAGCUAGCCCCCUCCACUCACCAGCCACCACCACUCAGCCCUCCCUUGCCAUCAAGACAUCGGACGUCUCCAUCUCUCCCUCUCACUCUCGUCUAGCAG